GAUGAACGCUGGCGGCGUGCCUAAUACAUGCAAGUCGAGCGAACAGAUAAGGAGCUUGCUCCUUUGACGUUAGCGGCGGACGGGUGAGUAACACGUGGGUAACCUACUUAUAAGACUGGAAUAACUCCGGGAAACCGGGGCUAAUGCCGGAUAACAUUUAGAACCGCGUGGUUCUAAAGUGAAAGAUGGUUUUGCUAUCACUAAUAGAUGGAUCCGCGCCGUAUUAGCUAGUAGGUAAGGUAACGGCUUACCAAGGCAACGAUACGUAGCCGACCUGAGAGGGAGGUCGGCCACACGGGAAGUGAGACAGGGUCCAGACUCCUGCGGUAGGCAGCAGUCGGGAAUCUGCCGCAAUGGGGGAGAGCCUGACGGAGCAACGCCGCGUGAGUGAUGAAGGUCUUCGGAUCGGAAAGCUCUGUUAUUAGGGGAGAACCAAUGUGUAAGUAACUGUGCACGUCUUGACGGUACCUGAUCAGAAAGCCCCGGCUAACUACGUG
rnacentral:rRNA from 1 species